UCCGAUAUGGUGUAGUGGCCAACAUGAUGCCCUCUCAUCUCACUGAGAGGUUAGGCAUAGCCCCGAGUUCGAUUCUCGGUUUCGGAA
rnacentral:tRNA from 1 species